GGGGGCUAGUCCGCCGCGAAACGCGAGGCCGGGAGGAGAGGCCGCGGUUAAGGGUGCUUCGACUGGGGAAUAAAAACUGAAGGCUUUGGCGCCCGUUUAUUGAGCAUUUACCAUAUGUCAUUGUUAAACACAUCGAGCGGAUUUUCUCAUUCAGGAUUUUCUCAUUCAACUGCCCAGCAGACCUUCGGGAGAACCCUGACUUCCUAACAGGGAUGGAAUGACCCACAGCACCUGACCACAGGGCCAGGAGGCAGCAACCAUCUGUGAGUAGCAGAAUUAAGUGGAUGGGUGGGUGGAUGUCAGUCAGGUUUGAUCUGGAAUGCCUUAGAGGCCCUGUUGCCCUUCCACCUGCCUUUAGUGGAUUAGCAGUCUGAAUUUCUGGGCAUGGGAAAGUUAGAACAGCUACCACAUUUAUCUCCUCCUGUGCUCACCCAACAGCUUUCUCUUCUCUCCUCAGUGAGCUCCUCUUGCUUGGCAGCAUGCUGGAGACACCACAGGUGUCCUACGCACAAGGAGGAUUUAGGACAGUCUCCUCAUUCUCCCACAAACACAGACCCCUUAGAACCCUCCACACCACUAGCAUCCUCCCAACCCCAGCCCCUGCCAAGCCUCAGCCUCUGGCCACUUCCUUUGCAUGUAGAUGAGGCCCUAUCUGGGCUGCCUUUGUCCUGGUGGUGGGGUGGGGGGUGUUGAUCAAUAAUUAGUGGCUGGGAGAUCAGGAGUCAGCAGUGGCCCUCCUUUCCAGGACCCACAAAUAAUACUGAUGUAGGAAACAAAGGCAAAAGGAAAAAAUCAAAUUUCUUUAUGGCCUACAGCCCACUGACAAGUCCUUGGAAUAGGCAGAUUGACAUUCCUCUAGGAAUUCAGC